rnacentral:misc_RNA from 1 species
GAACUGCGAUAAGUAAUGUGAAUUGCAGAAUUCAGUGAAUCAUCGAGUCUUUGAACGCACAUUGCGCCCCCUGGCAUUCCGGGGGGCAUGCCUGUCCGAGCGUCAUUGCUGCCCUUCAAGCCCGGCUUGUGUGUUGGGUCGUCGUCCCCUCCGGGGGACGGGCCCGAAAGGCAGCGGCGGCACCGCGUCCGGUCCUCGAGCGUAUGGGGCUUUGUCACCCGCUCGAUAAGGACCGGCCGGGCGCCAGCCGGCGUCUCCAACCUUUUUUUCUCAGGUUGACCUCGGAUCAGGUAUGGAUACCCGCUGAACUUAAGC